GCCCAGUGCUCUGAAUGUCAAAGUGAAGAAAUUCAAAAAGCGCGGGUAAACGGC
rnacentral:rRNA from 1 species